AUUGAACGCUGGCGGCAUGCUUUACACAUGCAAGUCGGACGAGUGGCGAACGGGUGAGUAACGCGUAUCAACCUGCCCUUCAGAGGGGGACAACAGUUGGAAACGACUGCUAAUACCGCAUACUGAAGGAGGGGAUUGCGUCUGAUUAGCUAGUUGGCGGGGUAAAGGCCCACCAAGGCGACGAUCAGUAGCGGGUCUGAGAGGAUGAUCCGCCACACUGGGACUGAGACACGGCCCAGACUCCUACGGGAGGCAGCAGUGGGGAAUUUUGGACAAUGGGCGCAAGCCUGAUCCAGCCAUGCCGCGUGUCUGAAGAAGGCCUUCGGGUUGUAAAGGACUUUUGUCAGGGAAGCGGUACCUGAAGAAUAAGCACCGGCUAACUACGUGCCAGCAGCCGCGGUAAUA
rnacentral:rRNA from 1 species